rnacentral:lncRNA from 1 species
UAUCAAGAAUAAUGCAGAAUAACCUUUCAUUUUAUGUGUAGGAGAUGCCUACAGGUUUUUGGCUGCCCCCAACAACCUAGACCACGUCCAUGUUCUUCUGCUACCUCAGUCAUGCACAAUACAAGUUACUGCUGAAUACAAGGAAAGAGCUGGCAUAUGUGAUGCAAGAAGUCAGAAAGUACAAACUUGCGUUAAACAGCGACCUGCUGAAGACUUGCAGCAAGAACCAGCUCAGAGUACAACAUACCCUCACUGUGGGCACUGCCUUUGUGCUUCCUGGGGUCAAAGUUGCAGAAAGGGACCCGUUCCGCCUCCAACCCCUCGGACGUGCAGAC